GCAAACGGGUGAGUAUAAUGUGGGAAUCUGCCUUUUGGUCUGGAAUAACACGGGGAAACUUGUGCUAAUACCGGAUAAGCCCUUACGGGGAAAGUUUUAAUGCCGAAAGAUGAGCCUGCACUUGAUUAGCUAGUUGGUAAGGUAAAAGCUUACCAAGGCAACGAUCAAUAGCUGUUCUUAGAGGAAGACCAGCCACAUUGGGACUGAGACACGGCCCAGACUCCUACGGGAGGCAGCAGUGGGGAAUCUUGCACAAUGGGGGAAACCCUGAUGCAGCGAUGCCGCGUGAGUGAAGAAGGCCCUUGGGUUGUAAAACUCUUUCGUCGGGGAAGAAAAUGACUGUACCCGAAUAAGAAGGUCCGGCUAACUUCGUGCCAGCAGCCGCGGUAAUACGAAGGGACCUAGCGUAGUUCGGAAUUACUGGGCUUAAAGAGCUCGUAGGUGGUUAAAAAAGUUGAUGGUGAAAUCCCAAGGCUCAACCUUGGAACUGCCAUCAAAACUUUUUAGCUAGAGUGUGAUAGAGGUAAGUGGAAUUUCUAGUGUAGAGGUGAAAUUCGUAGAUAUUAGAAAGAACACCAAAUGCGAAGGCAACUUACUGGGUCACUACUGACACUGAGGAGCGAAAGCAUGGGUAGCGAAGAGGAUUAGAU
rnacentral:rRNA from 1 species